AUUAGCUGUAGCUACGACAACAAGUUAAGGGGAUCUACAGAAGAGAGUUUUGAUCCUGCUCAGUGUGAUAAGUUGUACCAGUUAGAGGACACAGAGAGACGAGCCUUGCAUCAAGAGGGGGAACAGGCAGGAGGAGAUAACAGGAAAAGCACCUGGAUAUACAUCUGGACAGAGAGAGCUCUGACAUUUAGCACAGAAGAUUACACAAACAUCUUUUGUGGCAUGUAGGUAAACCUGCAAGCUUACAUCUCCCCAUAAAAAACAAAGACCAACCUGAUGAAGGGAUGAUAGAAUUUUAAGAAGAAAUUUGUUUUUCUGGAAUCACUUCCCUUGGAAAAUAGCUCAAACAGAUGCAACAUGACUUAACCACAGUAGGCUCCUGGAGGCACUGUUUUCCCAGUUUCCCCUGUGCUUUCUGAAUUUUGAGACUAUCAAUGUUUACCGUGGAACGCAACAUCUCCUGCAGCAUGGAGCUGUAUAUUCAGCUGCUGAGAACCAAUUCUCUGCUGCUAUCAAUCAUCAGACUUUACUGAGUCAGGCUACCACCAACAGCAGGUAACAGAGAGAAAAUGAGAAGUAGAGAUUGAUUUCACACUCCACCCAAAACAAAGGAAUUUGAGUCAGACCAUGAAGCUAAUGAUCACUGAUAAGGCCUGGCAAGAAGUGAACAACUUGAUAACGUGACAGUUUGGCAGAAUCUGACAGUAUUUUCUGAAGUCUGAGCCAUGCUCACAUGGCAUAAAUCAUUCCUGCCCGAGUUCUCUCAAUUAGCCAUUUUGCAGGAACAAGGAGACACUGCAGAAUAUACGCCAGAAUGUGCAACUCCAUCUGCAGAAAAUUAAAAAUAGAUGCUUAUAAGGCAAGAGAUGCAGAAAGAGCAAAACAAACUUUUCUCUCUUCUGCAGAUAUGCUCACCUGGGAAGGUAGACUCCCAAAAGCCUUCAAUCUAAAUUGUCCACCUAAAUCAACAAGCUGCCUUCUAGAGCACAUAGGUAAUAGCGUUCGCCUGUUUCAGCAGUAAAAAAUGAUGUAAUACUA